GACGAACGCUGGCGGCGUGCUUAACACAUGCAAGUCGAGCGACGCUCUUCCUUCGGGGAGAUGACGGAGCGGCGAACGGGUGAGUAACACGUGGGCAACCUGCCCCUAGCUCUGGGACAACACCGGGAAACCGGUGCUAAUACCGGAUACGACAUCGAGCGGCAUCUCUCGAUGUGGAAAGUUUUUUCGGCUAGGGAUGGGCCCGCGGCCUAUCAGCUUGUUGGUGGGGUAAUGGCCCACCAAGGCGACGACGGGUAGCCGGCCUGAGAGGGCGACCGGCCACACUGGGACUGAGACACGGCCCAGACUCCUACGGGAGGCAGCAGUGGGGAAUAUUGCGCAAUGGGCGAAAGCCUGACGCAGCGACGCCGCGUGAGGGAUGACGGCCUUCGGGUUGUAAACCUCUUUCAGCAGGGACGAAUUCAGACGGUACCUGCAGAAGAAGCACCGGCCAACUACGU
rnacentral:rRNA from 1 species